rnacentral:rRNA from 1 species
GGGUGCGAUCAUACCGGCACUAAUGCACCGGAUCCCAUCAGAACUCCGCAGCUAAGCGUGCCUGGGCGAGAGUAGUACUAGGAUGGGUGACCUCCUGGGAAGUCCUCGUGCUGCACCCC